AGCGCAGGAAGCCGCUGAAACUAAACGUCUCCCCGCCACUGCAGGUUGCGCUCCGUCUGUGGGGUCCUGACCAGGCAUGGAAUCGAAAGCACUGCUUAGCAUUCUGUUCUCCAUUUAAGAAUUCUACAGGAUAGUUGAUUUCACAGAGCAGUGCAUUGUUGGACAUCUGAGGAUAGAUACACAGUUAGAGAUAUAUAUCAAGGAUCAGUUUCUGAGAAUACACGAUUGUGGAUAGCAUCAUGAACCCAUAUUCAGCAAUACUUUCACAGCUUCCUAACAGUUCUUUCUUUAUGAAAAUAAAUCUUCAGGCAAUAAAUUUCCCUGUGUCACUCCAUGCUUCUAUUGCUAUGGAAAUA